UACGUAGGGUGCAAGCGUUGUCCGGAAUUAUUGGGCGUAAAGAGCUCGUAGGCGGUCUGUCGCGUCGGAUGUGAAAAUCCAGGGCUCAACCCUGGACCUGCAUUCGAUACGGGCAGACUAGAGUUCGGUAGGGGAGACUGGAAUUCCUGGUGUAGCGGUGAAAUGCGUAGAUAUCAGGAGGAACACCGGUGGCGAAGGCGGCUAUCUGGACAGAGUCUGACGCUGAGGCGCGAAAGCUAGGGGAGCAAACAGG
rnacentral:rRNA from 1 species